UGAACGCUGGCGGCGUGCUUAACACAUGCAAGUCGAGCGACAGCGCGGGAGCAAUCCUGGCGGCGAGCGGCGAACGGGUGAGCAAUGCUUCGGAAUCUGCCCAUUAGUGGGGAAUAACCAGUCGAAAGACUGGCUAAUACCGCAUACGACCUACGGGUGAAAGCAGGGGACCGCAAGGCCUUGCGCUAUUGGAUGAGCCGAAGUCGGAUUAGCUAGUUGGUGAGGUAACGGCUCACCAAGGCGACGAUCCGUAGCUGGUCUGAGAGGAUGAUCAGCCACACUGGAACUGAGACACGGUCCAGACUCCUACGGGAGGCAGCAGUGGGGAAUAUUGGACAAUGGGCGCAAGCCUGAUCCAGCCAUACCGCGUGGGUGAAGAAGGCCUUAGGGUUGUAAAGCUCUUUUACCCGGGAUGAUAAUGACAGUACCGGGAGAAUAAGCCCCGGCUAACUCCGUGCCAGCAGCCGCGGUAAU
rnacentral:rRNA from 1 species